UACGGGGGGGGCAAGCGUUGUUCGGAAUUACUGGGCGUAAAGGGCUCGUAGGCGGCCAACUAAGUCAUACGUGAAAUCCCUCGGCUUAACCGGGGAACUGCGUCUGAUACUGGAUGGCUUGAGUUCGGGGAGAGGGAUGCGGAAUUCCAGGUGUAGCGGUGAAAUGCGUAGAUAUCUGGAGGAACACCGGUGGCGAAGGCGGCGAUCCUGGAC
rnacentral:rRNA from 1 species